CAGGAUUUUAUUGGCGAAGCRGAAUGUACUUUAGGAUCAAUAGUUGGAGAAAAUGGAGGCAAACUAGAGAAAUCUUUGCAAAACAAACAGUUCAACAAAAGUAGAGGAAAAAUUAUUGUGACAUGUGAAGAAGUUAGCGAUUGUAAAGUAAGUGGAUGUAAUUAUUAAUAUCUAAUAUCGU